CCUGGUUGAUCCUGCCAGUAGCAUAUGCUUGUCUCAAAGAUUAAGCCAUGCAUGUCUAAGUACAAGCCGCUUGACGGCGAAACCGCGAAUGGCUCAAUAAAUCAGUUAUGGUUCCUUAGAUCUUUCCAUCCUUCUUGGAUAACUCUGGUAAUUCUAGAGCUAAUACAUGCACUCAAGCCCCGACUCCGGCAACGGUAGGAGGGGUGCUUUUAUUAGAUCAAAACCAAUCGGACCGUUUCGGCGGUCCGUCCUUUAUGGUGACUCUGAAUAACUUUUCGCUGAUCGCACGGCCUUGGAGCCGGCGACGCAUCUUUCAAAUGUCUGCCUUAUCAACUUUCGAUGGUAGGUUAUGCGCCUACCAUGGUUGCAACGGGUAACGGGGAAUCGGGGUUCGAUUCCGGAGAGGGAGCCUGAGAAACGGCUACCACAUCCAAGGAAGGCAGCAGGCGCGCAAAUUACCCACUCCCGGCACGGGGAGGUAGUGACGAAAAAUAACGAUACGGGACUCUUCCGAGGCCCCGUGAUUGGAAUGAGUACACUUUAAAUCCUUUAGCGAGGACCUAUUGGAGGGCAAGUCUGGUGCCAGCAGCCGCGGUAACUCCAGCUCCAAUAGCGUAUAUUAAAGUUGUUGCGGUUAAAAAGCUCGUAGUUGGAUUCCUGUCUUCGGCCGGGCGGUGCCCGACUCAGGUCGGCCGCACUGCCUUUGGGUUAGGGUGUCAAAGCCUUUUCCCUUUAACGGCCGGACAAUACCACCGGAGGUGCAGGGCUAAGUGACGGGCUCUCGGGCUCCCACUGAAGACUGCACCAUUUUACAGUCCGAGGUGCCCUUAACAAGGUGUCUCGGGCGGCCGGUAACGUUUACUUUGAACAAAAUAGAGUGCUCAAAGCAGGUACACAUCACGCCUGAAUAUCACAGCAUGGAAUGAUGGAAUAGGACCUCGGUCUUAUUUUGUUGGUUUUCUCUAGACCCGAGGUAAUGGUUAAUAGAGACGGACGGGGGCAUUCGUACUGCGACGCUAGAGGUGAAAUUCUUGGACCGUCGCAAGACGAACGACUGCGAAAGCAUUUGCCAAGAAUGUUUUCAUUAAUCAAGAACGAAAGUUAGAGGUUCGAAGGCGAUCAGAUACCGCCCUAGUUCUAACCAUAAACGAUGCCGACCAGCGAUCCGACGAAGUUACUCCCAUGACUCGUCGGGCAGCUUCCGGGAAACCAAAGUCUUUGGGUUCCGGGGGAAUGAUGGUUGCAAAGCUGAAACUUAAAGGAAUUGACGGAAGGGCACCACCAGGAGUGGAGCCUGCGGCUUAAUUUGACUCAACACGGGAAACCUCACCAGGCCCGGACACUGGAAGGAUUGACAGAUUGAGAGCUCUUUCUUGAUUCGGUGGGUGGUGGUGCAUGGCCGUUCUUAGUUGGUGGAGCGAUUUGUCUGGUUAAUUCCGAUAACGAACGAGACUCUAGCCUGCUAAAUAGGUGGCGGGUUUUCUAAUGAAUUUUUGGGUUCGCAGUCCGUCGGGACCAACGUGUUCUGGUUUGGGCGGUUUCGUGCGCUUUCGUGGCCGGGCUCUCGAGUUCGGUUGCGGCAGCGUGCGGGGUUCGUCCGGCCGGGGCAUUCCCCGGCGGUCAGCUGCGUUCUCGCGUCCGUCACGACUCUUCUUAGAGGGACAAGCGGCGUUUAGCCGCGUGACAGUGAGCAAUAACAGGUCUGUGAUGCCCUUAGAUGUCCUGGGCCGCACGCGCGCUACACUGAAGGAAUCAGCGUGUUUUUCUCCCCCUGUCCGAAAGGACCGGGUAACCGCUGAACCUCCUUCGUGGUUGGGAUUGGGGACUGCAAUGAUCCCCAUGAACCAGGAAUCCCUAGUAGGCGCGAGUCACUAGCUCGCGUCGAUUACGUCCCUGCCCUUUGUACACACCGCCCGUCGCUACUACCGAUUGAAUGAUUUAGUGAGGCCUUCGGACGGGCUCGCCGGGGGUGUGCUGUUUCGGUUUCGGCCGGGCCAGCGUGCUCUAACUAACGGUGAGACUGAAAGAUGUCCGAACUUGAUCCUUUAGAGGAAGUAAAAGUCGUAACAAGGUUUCCGUAGGUGAACCUGCGGAAGGAUCAUUA
rnacentral:rRNA from 1 species